rnacentral:rRNA from 1 species
UACGAAGGGGGCUAGCGUUGCUCGGAAUCACUGGGCGUAAAGGGCGCGUAGGCGGCCUGUGCAAGUCAGUUGUGAAAUCUCCGAGCUUAACUCGGAACGGUCAACUGAUACUGCUCGGCUAGAGUGCGGAAGGGGCAACUGGAAUUCUUGGUGUAGCGGUGAAAUGCGUAGAUAUCAAGAGGAACACCUGCGGCGAAGGCGGGUUGCUGGGCCGACACUGACGCUGAGGCGCGAAAGCUAGGGGAGCGAACGGG